AUUGAACGCUGGCGGCAUGCCUUACACAUGCAAGUCGAACGGCAGCAUGAUCUAGCUUGCUAGAUUGAUGGCGAGUGGCGAACGGGUGAGUAAUACAUCGGAACGUGCCCUGUAGUGGGGGAUAACUAGUCGAAAGAUUAGCUAAUACCGCAUACGACCUGAGGGUGAAAGUGGGGGACCGCAAGGCCUCAUGCUAUAGGAGCGGCCGAUGUCUGAUUAGCUAGUUGGUGGGGUAAAGGCCCACCAAGGCGACGAUCAGUAGCUGGUCUGAGAGGACGAUCAGCCACACUGGGACUGAGACACGGCCCAGACUCCUACGGGAGGCAGCAGUGGGGAAUUUUGGACAAUGGGCGAAAGCCUGAUCCAGCAAUGCCGCGUGUGUGAAGAAGGCCUUCGGGUUGUAAAGCACUUUUGUCCGGAAAGAAAUGGCUCUGGUUAAUACCUGGGGUCGAUGACGGUACCGGAAGAAUAAGGACCGGCUAACUACGUGCCAGCAGCCGCGGUAAUACGUAGGGUCCAAGCGUUAAUCGGAAUUACUGGGCGUAAAGCGUGCGCAGGCGGUUGUGCAAGACCGAUGUGAAAUCCCCGAGCUUAACUUGGGAAUUGCAUUGGUGACUGCACGGCUAGAGUGUGUCAGAGGGGGGUAGAAUUCCACGUGUAGCAGUGAAAUGCGUAGAGAUGUGGAGGAAUACCGAUGGCGAAGGCAGCCCCCUGGGAUAACACUGACGCUCAUGCACGAAAGCGUGGGGAGCAAACAGGAUUAGAUACCCUGGUAGUCCACGCCCCAAACGAUGUCAACUAGUUGUUGGGGAUUCAUUUCCUUAGUAACGUAGCUAACGCGUGAAGUCGACCGCCUGGGGAGUACGGUCGCAAGAUUAAAACUCAAAGGAAUUGACGGGGACCCGCACAGGCGGUGGAUGAUGUGGAUUAAUUCGAUGCAACGCGAAAAACCUUACCUACCCUUGACAUGCCACUAACGAAGCAGAGAUGCAUUAGGUGCUCGAAAGAGAAAGUGGACACAGGUGCUGCAUGGCUGUCGUCAGCUCGUGUCGUGAGAUGUUGGGUUAAGUCCCGCAACGAGCGCAACCCUUGUCUCUAGUUGCUACGAAAGGGCACUCUAGAGAGACUGCCGGUGACAAACCGGAGGAAGGUGGGGAUGACGUCAAGUCCUCAUGGCCCUUAUGGGUAGGGCUUCACACGUCAUACAAUGGUGCAUACAGAGGGUUGCCAAGCCGCGAGGUGGAGCUAAUCCCAGAAAAUGCAUCGUAGUCCGGAUCGUAGUCUGCAACUCGACUACGUGAAGCUGGAAUCGCUAGUAAUCGCGGAUCAGCAUGCCGCGGUGAAAACGUUCCCGGGUCU
rnacentral:rRNA from 1 species